AUAAGCAAAAGCUCCUUUAAAUUUCGUCAUUUUUUAUACACAUCCCGUUUAUUUUGUAGUUAAUUGUUAGAUAAGUUAGUCAUUUCGUCAAGUUUUCGUUAUAGGGUAAGAUUUCGUUACCAUAUACAGUAAAUAUUGGUUCAAGAGCGCAGUUUGAUAACUCAUUCGAGGUUUGUAAAUGGUAAAUAACUUAUUCGAGGUUUGUAGCCAUAUUUAAGUUACUCGCUUACUUUGUUUCAGUGUUUGAGUAAAUGUUAUAAAGUAAUAAUUAAUAUAAGUUACUGCGCGAGCUCAUUACGGCCGUUUCUCAAUCCGAAGGCUACUGGAGGUAGCAUUUGUAGGCUGUAUACGUCAUCAAGACUGUCAGACUUAAGAAUAUUAACAAUUAUAAAGGUGACUAUUAUUCUUAGUUAAUCGUAAAUUGUUGUAAUAUGCGUAUGACUUGCGAAUGUAAUGCUCAUUUAACUUAAAUAAACCAGGCUUGAUGACGUAUGCAGCCUGCAUAUUCGACCUCCGGAGGAUGCAGCCUUCCGUUUGAGAAACGGCCUACAAGUGUGAGCGUGCGCGAGAUUCUGUCUGAAUUGAUUCUUUAAUAAUGGCAAAGCAAAGCAUUUUAAGGUUUAAAUUAAAACGCCUAACUUACCUUUCCAGGGGUUUCUGUUCCUACAGUCUUUCAGCGGUGCUGGCGCGUAUGACGAUGCGGACAUAAACAGCACACUACAGUAUACCGCCACCUACUGUACUGUAGUACAAUAACGUCCUUUAAACAUCUAAACAUGUCCUCCAAAAAGGUUUCCUGUGCUGUUUUGCUCCAUUUUACUGAACAAAAUAAGGCUGAGGUAGCACCAUCCUUGUGGUUAGAGUGAAAGAAUGUGGGUAUUGAGACCAAAAUAAACAAUGUGCCAUUCUGGACAAACAGCUGUGGACAAUAUAUGCAGUCAGAGUAGCCUAUUUUCUCACACAGAUGAGGAGCAACCAGUAAGAAAAAGCAAAAA